rnacentral:misc_RNA from 1 species
GAUGAAGAACGCAGCGAAAUGCGAUAAGUAAUGUGAAUUGCAGAAUUCAGUGAAUCAUCGAAUCUUUGAACGCACAUUGCGCCCGCCAGUAUUCUGGCGGGCAUGCCUGUUCGAGCGUCAUUUCAACCCUCAAGACCCCUUCGGGGGACUUGGUGUUGGGGACCGGCACAGGGGCCUGCCUGCUUGUCUUGCAGCGCCCUCGCCGCCCCCGAAAUGAAUUGGCGGCCUCGUCGCGGCCUCCCCUGCGUAGUAGCACAACCUCGCAACGGGAACGUGACGGCGGCCACUGCCGUAAAACAACCCAAUUUUAUUAGAGUUGACCUCGAAUCAGGUAGGAAUACCCGCUGAACUUAAGCAUAUCAAUAAGCGAAGGA